rnacentral:rRNA from 1 species
GACGAACGCUGGCGGCGUGCCUAAUACAUGCAAGUAGAACGCUGAAGGAGGAGCUUGCUCCUCUGGAUGAGUUGCGAACGGGUGGGUAACGCGUAGGUAACCUGCCUGGUAGCGGGGGAUAACUAUUGGAAACGAUAGCUAAUACCGCAUAAGAGUAGAUGUUGCAUGACAUUUGCUUAAAAGGUGCAAUUGCAUCACUACCAGAUGGACCUGCGUUGUAUUAGCUAGUUGGUGAGGUAACGGCUCACCAAGGCAACGAUACAUAGCCGACCUGAGAGGGUGAUCGGCCACACUGGGACUGAGACACGGCCCAGACUCCUACGGGAGGCAGCAGUAGGGAAUCUUCGGCAAUGGACGGAAGUCUGACCGAGCAACGCCGCGUGAGUGAAGAAAGGUUUUCGGAUCGUAAAAGCUUCUGUUGUAAAGAGAAAGAAACGAAGUGUGAGAGUGGAAAAGUUCC